rnacentral:lncRNA from 1 species
AAACUCACUGUGCAAGGUUUAAACUUUUUACAGGUAAAGAGGAUAUUCUAAGCUUCCUCAGGCCUCAUCAGUCUAUGGAAACAGUCACCUUAAUAACAAUAGUUCAAGUUCCACAUAUUUCUGCUCUCACCUACAGAAUCUAAGACUGUGCAAGAUGCCAUCCAAAUGUAUUGUGUUUAGGAGCAUAUCCUCUCCCACUGGGCUGUGUACUGCUCACCCACUCUAGGUCUACCAGGACCUGCAUUCACCUGAUCGGCUACCAGCAAACUGCCACUACACUGCUCCUCAUGCACCACUCUUCUAGCAGGUUCUCCACUGAGUCCCUGGAUCCCUAGAGGUGUUCCUUGGUGAAAUCAAGGAGAAUAGUUCUCAGCUUUGUGCUACCUUCCAGAAGCACCCAAGAGUCUAGGCACAAGAUCAAAAAUCACACAGGCUGUGACACUUUGUUACACUGGCCCUGUUACCAGGAGCGUGGCAGAGGGAUACCCCCUCGCCAAGGGAGGCCAGAGGCCAGAUCCCUUGUUCCACCAAGGACACCCUCAAGGCAGCCAUAGCAGGCAAGCAGCAGACGCCCACGCUCCGCGAGGCCGGGGCAGGGCUGGGCCGCAGCCGGGGUCACGAGAGGAAGAACCCUGCACCCCCACCGGCGGCCCUCGGGGACCCACGAGUCAGCCGCUACCGGAGUCCACUCUGUCCGCCUUCAGCUCCGUCCGCCGCGCAGAGACGCCCACGGAGAAGGCCCCAGUCCCUGCCAUGCUGGGCCU